rnacentral:rRNA from 1 species
AGCGAACGCUGGCGGCAGGCUUAACACAUGCAAGUCGAGCGCCCCGCAAGGGGAGCGGCAGACGGGUGAGUAACGCGUGGGAACGUACCCUUUACUACGGAAUAGCUCCGGGAAACUGGAAUUAAUACCGCAUGUGCCCUUCGGGGGAAAGAUUUGUCGGUAAAGGAUCGGCCCGCGUUGGUUUAGCUAGGUGGUGGGGUAAAGGCCUACCAAGGUGACGAUCAAUAGCUGGUCUGAGAGGGUGAUCAGCCACAUUGGGACUGAGAAAUGGCCCAAACUCCUGCGGGAGGCAGCAGUGGGGAAUAUUGGACAAUGGGAGCAAGCUUGAUCCAGCCAUGCCGCGUGAGUGAUUAAGGCCUUAGGGUUGUAAAGCUCUUUCACCGGAGAAGAUAAUGACGGUAUCCGGAGAAGAAGCCCCGGCUAACUUCGUGCCAGCAGCCGCCGUAACAC